GAAGUGUUUCUCCACCAAGGGUUCCAAUGGCUAGAAAUCCAUCAAAGAAGUCACUGUUUCUCUCAUCCUUGAGGUGUUCUUCUAUAUUUUCCAUGGGUCCUGCGAAGGAGCUUUCCUGGAACAGAUUGACUUGUUUUCUGAAUCCAGUAUUGUAUCUGGAGCCAGCACAUGCUGCGGGGUAAACAUCUUGGCUAUCAAGGGAUGGAUGAGAUGAAAGGAUGGAAUAGCUGUUACCUGAAAUGCACGUGGGUGCAUGACAUUUACUGGAUGAUACUUGCUUGGGAGAGAUCUACUUUGGCUGCUAACACUCGCAAAUUGAGUAGGUGGGAUUUUUAUUCAGCUAGCUGACUCCAAUCACAAUGCUUUGAACACGAGUGCAUGAUCCUAGUCUUUAAUCAGGAUUCAAAUACGCUUCCUAUUUGUACAUAUUUGACAAGAAACGAAGCAUCCGAGAAGUACAGUAGUAUUACCAGUUGUAGAAUCUUUCAAUGGUUCUUUGCUAUUCUCGCGGAACUUAUGAUGCAUCCAGCCCCAAAACUGCCAGAAAAUAAGCUUUCUUGAUGACAGUGGUGACCAACACCAAGAAAGCUACAAAAUUUUGGUUGGCCGUUCUCUAUCAAGAUCACAUCAAGAUCAAGUUGGAGGGCCAUUACAGAUGAGCCCCUACUGUUGUGGUUACAUGACGCGCAAAUUCAUCGGUGGAGUAGCUAUCCUUAAUUACAAUCAUCAAUCAUCUCAGGUAUUACUAUUUUAUCGUGAUUUGAGUUUCAAUAUUGGAAAGUUUCGUGAUUUUAUGUGGCGUUCAUGAGCCAUUAAUACUAAAUUUACAAGUCAUUUGCAAAUAAAGUAUACAUAAAUAGUGGCUGCAAAAUCAACUUUUGCUAUUGCUUUUUUUCGUGUAGAACUUGAUUUUUGAUAUCCCUUCCUGCAGUGAUAUGGUCGAUCCAUAUCUUGUAUGCUAGAAAAAAGUAUGCAUUCGGUUGAAAUCUGGAUAUAUAGCCAGCGUGACUGGUUGGUACAAACUCAUUCUGUAUUUGGUUAGAAAACUUGUGUUAACUUUGUUGCUGCUUUGCAUAAAGAUUAAUUUUAUUUUAUUUGAAACAACAUGUAUGCUGGCUCUUGCUCACUUGGAGUGAUUGAGGAAGGCAUUAUGUUGUAAUAAUUUUCAAAUAUAGAGAGUACUGCAUUGUUGAUCUUGCUGUCUCCGACAAGAAGAAAAUGCAUUUGGAUUGAUGACCAUCCUGCAGAAAAGUAAAGAAAGAGUACUUUUUCGAGGAAGCAUAUGGGAGCUCCGUGA